rnacentral:rRNA from 1 species
GAUGAACGCUGGCGGCGUGCCUAAUACAUGCAAGUCGAGCGAACAGAUGAGGAGCUUGCUCCUCUGACGUUAGCGGCGGACGGGUGAGUCACACGUGGAUAACCUACCUAUAAGAAUGGGAUAACUUCGGGAAACCGGAGCUAAUACCGGAUAAUAUAUUGAACCGCAUGGUUCAAUAGUGAAAGACGGAUUUGCUGUCACUUAUAGAUGGAUCCGCGCCGCAUUAGCUAGUUGGUAAGGUAACGGCUUACCAAGGCAACGAUGCGUAGCCGACCUGAGAGGGUGAUCGGCCACACUGGAACUGAGACACGGUCCAGACUCCUACGGGAGGCAGCAGUAGGGAAUCUUCCGCAAUGGGCGAAAGCCUGACGCAGCAACGCCGCGUGAGGGAUGAAGGUCUUCGGAUCGUAAAACGCUUUUAUUAGGGAAGAACCACUGUGUAAUUAACUAUGCACGUCUUGACGGUACCUGAUCAGAAAGCCACGGCUAACUACGUG